GAUGAACGCUGGCGGCGUGCCUAAUACAUGCAAGUCGAGCGAACAGCCGAUGAUCUUGCUCCUCUGACGUUAGCUGCUGUCGGGUGACUAACACGUGGAUAACCUACCUAUAAUACUGGUAUUACUUCGGGAAACCGGACCUAAUACCGUAUAAUAUCUUGAUCCGCAUGGUUCAAUAGUUAAUGACGGUUUUGCUGUCCCUUAUAGAUGGAUCCGCGCCGCAUUUGAUAGUUGUUUAGGUAACGGCUUACCAAGGCAACGAUGCGUAGCCGACCUGAGAGGGAGAUCGGACACACGGGAACGGAGACAGGGACGAGACACCGACGGGAGGAAGCAGUAGGGAAUCGUACGCAAGGGGGGAAAGGGUGACGGAGCAACGCGGAGUGAGUGAUGAAGGAGUGAGGAUGGGAAAACUCUGAUAUGAGGGAAGAACAAAUGUGUAAGUAACAAUGCAGGUAGUGACGGUACCUAAUCAGAAAGCCACGGCUAACUACGUG
rnacentral:rRNA from 1 species